rnacentral:rRNA from 1 species
ACUCCUACGGGAGGCAGCAGUGAGGAAUAUUGGUCAAUGGGCGAGAGCCUGAACCAGCCAAGUCGCGUGAAGGAAGAGGGAUCUAUGGUUCGUAAACUUCUUUUGCAGGGGAAUAAAGUGCGGGACGUGUCCUGUUUUGUAUGUACCCUGAGAAUAAGGAUCGGCUAACUCCGUGCCAGCAGCCGCGGUAAUACGGAGGAUCCGAGCGUUAUCCGGAUUUAUUGGGUUUAAAGGGUGCGUAGGUGGUUUGAUAAGUCAGCGGUGAAAGUUUGCAGCUUAACUGCAAAAAUGCCGUUGAAACUGUCGGACUUGAGUGUAAAUGAGGUAGGCGGAAUGCGUGGUGUAGCGGUGAAAUGCAUAGAUAUCACGCAGAACUCCGAUUGCGAAGGCAGCUUACUAAGCUACAACUGACACUGAAGCACGAAAGCGUGGGGAUCAAACAGGAUUAGAUACCCUGGUAGUC